rnacentral:rRNA from 1 species
CCUACGGGAGACAGCAGUGGGGAAUAUUGGGCAAUGGGCGCAAGCCUGAUGCAGCAACGCCGCGUGAAGGAAGAAGGCUUUCGGGUUGUAAACUUCUUUUAAGAGGGAAGAGCAGAAGACGGUACCUCUUGAAUAAGCCACGGCUAACUACGUGCCAGCAGCCGCGGUAAUACGUAGGUGGCAAGCGUUGUCCGGAUUUACUGGGUGUAAAGGGCGUGUAGCCGGGCUGACAAGUCAGAUGUGAAAUCCCGUGGCUCAACCACGGAACUGCAUUUGAAACUGUCGGUCUUGAGUAUCGGAGAGGCAGGCGGAAUUCCUAGUGUAGCGGUGAAAUGCGUAGAUAUUAGGAGGAACACCAGUGGCGAAGGCGGCCUACUGGACUGUGACUGACGUUGAGGCUCGAAAGCGUGGGGAGCAAACAGGAUUAGAUACCCUUGUAGUC